AGUAGGUUGCGAGCGGAAAAUUGACAUGGGUCAUUGAAAGUGCUUGAAUUUUGUGCAAAAAAGAAGUGAAGCUGAUAUUUAGGUCCUUGAGCUCCUUGAAGGUUUGUGAAUUUCCAUGCAGAACAUUGAGUGAGUAAAGUUAAACAAAGAGCAAAUAACGACGUGAUGUCUGGGAAAAGAAAACUUCAAGAUCUCUGUCUCACCAAAGACAAACGACAAAGACCGACUUUGACCAGAUGAAGUGGACGCGUGGAUGAAGACGAGCUUAAGCUGAGUCAGCACAUUCUGGCCUUGAUCCUGAGCUGCUGUGUUGCUGGCGGUGAGGUCAAAGUGCAGCUGGUGGUGAUUGAUGACCAGGAUGUGGACCUGACAUCAGGCCUGCACAUCUGUCUGCGUGAGAAGACCGUGUGUGUGGACCUGGCCGCGUUGCCCUCGGUGACGGCGUGUGUUUGGCAGCGUGGCAUAGCAACAAUCAGAACAACUUGCUGGCAUGAAAGCAAAGCACAGUCGGCGCUGGAUCCUCGGUUCCC